UACGGAGGGUGCAAGCGUUGUUCGGAAUCAUUGGGCGUAAAGCGCGUGUAGGCGGCUUGGCAAGUCAGUUGUGAAAGCCCGGGGCCCAACCCCGGAACUGCAUCUGAAACUGCCUGGCUAGAGUCCCGGAGAGGAAGGCAGAAUUCCCGGUGUAGGGGUGAAAUCCGUAGAUAUCGGGAGGAAUACCAGCGGCGAAGGCGGCCUUCUGGACGGUGACUGACGAUGAGACGCGAAAGCGUGGGGAGCAAACAGG
rnacentral:rRNA from 1 species